AGAAGCAGGCCCCAUGCCAGGGAGCCCGACGUGGGACCCGAUCCCGGGACUCCAGGAUCGCGCCCUGAGCCAAAGGCAGGCACUAAACCGCUGGGCCACCCAGGGAUUCCCCAAUCACCUUUUCUAAAGUAGUCAAAAACUACAAAACUACAUCAAUAUGAAGAAGAAAGAGGUACCCACUGAUUUCUCUCAGAUGCAAAAAGUUUUCCAGUGUUCUCAAAUUUUCAAAAUAGAUGACUCUUCUCUAGCAAAAGUGUUGCACAAUUUGAAAAAACAGCCUUCCAGGGAAGACAAGCAAAAAAAAAAAAAAAAAA